GGUGGCAUACUGCGCCCCCGAAUUGUAGGCCACGGUCACCCCGAAGCGACCCACCACGGAGAGGCUCACCAGCAAUGUGGUGGCUGUGGGAAUUGGAAAAGAUAACUGAUUAACGCGUUUUAGAUAGGGCAUCAUAAAAUUGGUCUGAAGGAACUCAGUGAAGGAGACAAUGCAAAAAUAUUCUUGAUCAUCAUCAUAAAAAAUCUUUUCGAUCGGACGACUAUAUCCUAUAGCUGUCAAAGCAACAAUUAGCCUUAAAUAAUUUUUUCCUUUCUCGUUACGAUUGAUAACAAAGCCGCAUACUUUGGCAGAUUAACUUCUCGUUGAAAUCCAACAAAUAGAUAUUCAUCACUCAACUAGGCUGCGAAGAUGAUGCCCCCGGUGACCGAGAUGAAAAUGCCACUCAGCAGCAGGGAGGCGGAGGCCAUCGCCUUGCGUCCGAUGCGAUCUUGCAGGGCGAUGAUCAGCA